rnacentral:lncRNA from 1 species
CAGAAUCUGGAUCUACUGUGAAGGUGGAGCCAACAAGGGGAGUACUGGAUGUGCAAGGCCACGGAAGUAGAGACAUGAAGGUGGGCAGGGACCUGAGGUGGCCUCUAGGAGCUGUGUGACCCCCCCAACCAACAGCCAGCAGGGACGUGGACACCUCAGACCAGCAGCCACAAGGAAGUGAACAUCGCAGACCCCCUGAAUGAGCUUGGAGAAGACCCUGAGCCUCCACGACGGCACGGAGCCCAGCUGACAGCUUGAUUUCAGCCCGGGGAGACCCUGAGCAGAGAAGCCAGCUGUGCUGUGCCCGGCCUUCUGAUUGAUAGACACUCUAAGGAUCGUGCUCCGGUCCCCUGAUCACGGCUGAUUCGCUAGUGUUGACAGACACCUGACUGCAGGCUGACAAGUCUCUCCUGGGGAUGUGAAACUUGAAUGGAGGGCACGCAGGCAGGGGGCGGUGGGAAAUGCGCCACCCCUGGCCAGCGCCCUAGAGAGGACAGCCACGGGCUCUGCCACUGAACCCCCUGGACAUUCCCGAGGAGUCUUCAUGUCUGGGGCGUGCUCUUCUGCCAUCCUGGGAACAGCUCUCCAUAAAUCCACCACUGGGCAACUUGCCUCUCUUGCAGCUACUGGUGGCCAAUGAAUGGAAGUUGUUAGGUGAAGAUUCUGGGAAAUAUCUUUAGAAGACACUGAUGCAGCUGGGAGGAAAGCCAAUUUGCCCUUCCUUCUCCUUCUUCCUACAUGGGACUCAGGCAUUAUGGCUGGAGCCCCAGCAGCCAUCUUGGAUCAAGAAGUGACCUUGACGAUGAAGCCGUAUAGUAAGGAUGAAGCAACACAAAGCUAGAAGGAACCUAUGACGUUGAUGACACCGUGAACCAGCCCUGACCUGGACUGAUCUUUCCAGACUUCUUUUUUCAAAUGAACUUUUUAUUUCAGAACAGUUUUGGAUUUACAGAAUUGUUGCAAAUAUAGUAUGGAGUUCCUAUAUACCCUAUACCCAGUUUCCCCUAUUAUUAAUAUUUUACAUUAGUAUGGUACAUUUAUCACAAUUAAUGAACCGAUAUUGUUACAUUAUUAUUAACUAAAAAGUUCACCCUUCAUUUGGAUUGCCUCUGUUUUCCUGAAUGUCCCUUUUCUGUUCUAGCAUUCCAUCCAGGGUCCUGCCUGACAUUUAGAAGUCAUGUCUCCUUAGGCUCCUCUUGGCUGUGACCGUUUCUCAGACUUUCUUUGCUUUUGAUGACCUUGAUGGUUUUGAGGAGUACUAGUUAGGGAUUUUGUAAAAUGACCCUCAAUUGGGAUUUGUCUAGUGAUUUUCUUAUGGUUAGAGCAGGUAAUGUGUUUCGGGGGGAAGACCACAGAGGUAAAGCGGCAUUGUCCCCCUAUUCCAUCCAGAGCAGACACUGUCAACGUGACUUAUCAGCGUGGAUGUGAGCUCUGGUCACCGGCAGGCUCUCCACUGUAAGAUUUCUUUCCCCCUUUUCCAUGCUGUGCUCCUUGGAACCGGUCACUGUGCCCAGCCCACACUUAAUGAGUGGGGAGUUAUCUUCCCCUCCCUAAGGGUGGAGUAGCUGCAUAAAUUAUUUCGAAUUCUUCUGCAUGGGCAGCUUGUCUCUUCUAUUUAUUUGUUUACUUAUUUACAUCAGUAUAGACUCAUGGAUAUUUAUUUUAUUCUUUGGGUUAUAAUUGUUACGACUUUUUUUUUUUUUGCUGAAAUUGUUCCACCUUUGGCCUCUUUCAGUUAGCUCCCCAGACUUCUUGACGUGACAGAAAAACAAACCGGGGUAGACAUUUUGCAACAAGUCUCCAAUUCCUCCCGUUUGUGUAUGCUCACGCCUUUACAAUGUGACUUUGCAGCUUCCCUCAUCAGGACCUGAAUUGCUCUCUGUCCCUGGAAUCUGGGCUGGGCCAUGAGACUUGCUUUGGCCAAUACGAAAAGGCCAAAGCAUGAAAAGAGCUUGUGUGUGGGGCUUGCUGCACCAGGGACCCUGAGACCACCAUGCGAGCAAGCCCGGGCGAACCUGCUGGAGGAUGAGAGGCCAUGUGGCCCGGUUGCCUCCACCGCCCUUGCCUACAGCCAGACCACAGCCAUGUGAGGGAGGCCUUUGACCGUAGUUGACUGCAGAUGUACGAUGAACCCAGAGACCAGCCGUCCCCACUGGGCCCAGUCCGAGCUGCCAGCCUACCGAGUCAUGCGCAAACCAACGUUUUUUGCUGUUUGAGAUCUAUCAGCUGGAGCGGAGACCUCAUUUAUGAUUGUGCACAAAUAAGUAACCUUCUGGCCAUGCCCUCCAGCCUCGGACCACCAGGAUCACCCCUGUAGGUAAACAAGUGGGGUUCGUGACUCAUUGUGGCAAGAGAGGAUACGUGCCGUGGGGAACCCAAGGUGUCCCUGGAAGGGGGGUGAGAGACGGCUUGUAUGGGAUCCGGGCUUGUGUCCGGAGGUUCGGAGGAGAGUUUAAGGAAGUGGGGUUCUUCUCCGGGUUGGAUGCUGUCAAGAAGUGGGAGAAACUAGAUGGUUGGGAUCCUGGUAAAUCUUCUCUACAGAGAAGGCAGACGGGAGCCAGGAUAACGCUGUCAGGGGAGAAGAGGCAGCCGUCACAGGAUAGCCAGCACGGGGGAUGUUUGGUCAUUUUUGUGCCUUGGAAAUGUUUACGUUUCGAGUUCAGACGUGAUCACAGAGUGAUCUUGCUUUUGUCUUGGUUCAUCAGUCACAGAGCGUCUUGUCCGAGGCUGAUGUUCUGCGGCAUUGUGUUCCACAGGACUUGGCUGUCACCCGAGAGGCUCAGGUGGUUCGGAGCACCACCCAGGCCAAGUGGUCCCGGCCAGCUCCUGGGGGCAGGCUGCCUCCUCUUCCUCCAUCUAGCAGACACUGGUGGGUCCCAGAGGAUGCCUUCUCCCGCCAGAGGGCCGGCCAGAACUCAGGUUAGAGCACAAGCUCAUUGCUGCUCAAUUCGGGAGGGCAUCUCAGCUUCUUUUCUUCUCCCACAAGUUUUCCUUUGUCAUUUACAUAUUAUAUCAACAAUAUCCUAAUCAUAUAGUGAUAGUAUUAAUUACACAUGAGUGGAUUAUAUUAAGAAUACAUUAUAUUCAUAGUCAAGUCCUUACUACGUACCAUGUACUGUGCUGAGCAUUUUAGAUGUAUUAAUUCGAGGAUUCUUAACCUGGGGUCUUACUGGGUCCAUGGGUGGAAUUUAUCUUCACUCACCUCUAAUUAAAUUCAGCACUUCUUUCAAUCGCAAAUGUAGGAAUCAUUAGUGCCUGGAACUUUCUCGCCAUAGAAAUCAUAGUACUUUCACAUUCGACCACAGUGGUAUUGAGAUCUCAGAAUAUUGCUGACACUCGUCUUGACUUAGCAAUUGCAGUACUCAUUGAGAUCCACCGCUAGGUCUCAUGUGUUAGCAAAGAAGCAGACAUAAGACUAUAUCACAACUGUGUUCUUUAAAAUAUCUUGACGGAUCAUUUGUGGCCAUCACGUGCUAAUCCUCACACCUGUGCCUCCUGCAUCAGUUAUGACAGCUCUGCGAUGUUACAAGGAGCCAGGGCAGCAUGGAAAAAAAGUGGCAGGAAGUCACUUCAUCCCAUUUCUUCAUUUAAAGGACAGAGACAACUACUUGCGAGUUGUGAGGAUUAAAUGAGAUAUUAUAUUUCCUCCAUUCUAAAUGGUAGUCUUUACAUCUGGUUGAUGCUCUGUCUGAGGAAAUUUGGGCAGAAAGAGAAAAUAAUAACUUAUACCUUAUCUAGUGUCUCAUUUGGGAGCUGGUUUUUAGAUGGCUUUACUGGAGUGACGCUGACACGCAGUAACCUGCACGUUGUUACCGUGAACUAUGUGGAAGUUGUCACCCGUGGACACAGCUGUGCAGCCAUCAGCACAGUCAAGAGGAUGAGCGUGUCCAUUGCUGCGCGUAUGAUUUAGAGGAAGGCGUCGUCUCAGAGCAGGAGCUCUGGGACCUCUUGUUCCUGAUUUUCAGAAAAGACGAGAAUAGUCGUCCAGUCCGUGUCACUACCUCAUGGCUCAGUUUCUAAGCCCAGGAAAGACGACACCAGACACCUGGGCGUCCAUCCUCUGCUGCCUUCUGAAACCCCUCACAGCUGAGCUCUUACACCAUUUGGGCUUCUUUAGCUUCAAGUGACAGAAAACCAACUCAGAGUUGCCUGGGGCCCGCCCCCUGGCCGAGUGGUUAAGUUUGCACGCCCCGCUUCACUGGCCCAGGGUUUUGCUGGUUUGGAUCCUGGGCGCGGACGUAGCAGUGCUCAUCAAGCCAUGCUGAGGCGGCAUCCCAAACAGAACUAAAGAACUUACAACUAGAAUAUACAACUAUGUACUGGGGGACUUAGGGGAGGAGAAGAAGAAGAAGAAGGAAAAAAAGAGGAUUGGCAACAGAUGUUAGCUCAGGGCCAAUCUUAAAAACCAAAAAUCGUUGUGUGCGCACACACAUACUUAAAAUUGCCUGAGCAAAACAGAACUUUUACUGGUUCAAGGAGCUGAAAAGUCCACAGUGAUGCUGGCUUCAGGUACGGCUUGAUUCAGAACUCCAGACGUCAUCUCUGGGCCCUGCUUUUCUCUUUGUCCUCUCACAUGGGCAGGCUCUCCUCAGGAAAGCAAUGGCAGCAGCAGUCCCAAGCAGUGUGUGAGAAGAGGCUGGAAGGAUGAGGGGGCUCAGACCCUCCAGGGCUUUCUUCUUUACUCCUGAGUCAAGUGGCGGUGGGCAGCCAUGAAAGGGAUUUUAAGCUUGAGAAUGACCUAAUUAGAUUUGCAUUCUGAGAGGAUCACACCAGCCCUGGGGCACAGCCAGAAUGGUAAUAAAAAAAAAUUCUUUAUUUAAAAAUCUUUUCCUUUAAAACAAUCACAAUAGAGUUGGCACUGGGCAGAUUCUGGGUUCCUUUCUUGGGAUCUCAUGUCUUCCCACAAGCCCCUGGGAAAAAUGUGUAUCACUUAAGAUUUUAAUCCCAACAACAGUGGCUUAAACAAGAUAAAAGUUUGUAUCUCUCUUGUGUAAGUUGGCCCAGGGCUGGUGUGGCAGCUCCACAAUCAAAAGAAAUCUAAGCUCCUUCUAUUGUCCCACCCCGCCAGCCCCGUUUGUGGCUUCAAUCCUCAGACUCGCCUCAUGGUGCAAGCUGCUGGUGCUCCACCCAUCACACCUACAUCUCAGGUAAAAGGAAAGGGGAGAACAAAGGGGUCCACCUUCUGGUUGGGUCAGCAUUCCCAUUUUCCUAACAUGACAUCUCUUCUUACAUAUCAUUUCCCAGAACAUGGUCACAUGCCAUACCUUAACAUCAAGAGAAUCUGGGAAAUGUGACCUUUAUAUGGGCACAUUAUUACCCAGAAGUGGUGUGUGUGUGUGUGGUUUUUUUUAAAAGGCCGUACAUUCUUUGACACACAGCGAGAGGUGGGGUCUGUCACCGUCCCCCUGCCUCUACCCGCACUCCGCAAAUCGGGGCUGGGGCUCAGAGACCCCUUUGACCAGCAGAACAGGGCAGAGUGAUGCUUUUAUAAAGUUGUUUACCACACCAGGUCAGAAAAGGCCAUGUGGCUUCUUCCAGUUUGGCUCGGAACCAAGACUGGCUUCACGGGCGUGUGACUCACUUAGCUGCACAGGGCCCUGUGCUCAGAGGGUCAUUCACUUGUGUCAACGCUCUGCCGCAGUCCUGAAAUUCUUAGAGAUUUUAUCUUUGACCUUGUUUUGUGAGUAAAGUCUGAUGGGACAAUGGAGCAUGCGCAAUGCAGAGGACAUGGGUGCCCCAGUUCCUUGCCACCCUAUCAGUACACGCGUCUGUGAUGCUGCUGCACGGCGUCCGUGACACGCUUACCUUGUGUGUGGGCCCUGUGCUCAGAAGGGCUCCUCUCUUGUUUUAAUGCUCUGCUGUCACAUCUCGAAAUUCUUAGCAGUUUUAUCUUUGGACUUGUGUGUUGGAAGUGAAUUCCGACGGACAAUGGAGCGUGCACGUGAGCGGAAGAGAUAAACGCAGUCUGGGUGUCCGCCAUCCACACAGCGUGUUCACAGCGUCCCACAAGCAGGGAGCUCUGGUGGCCCCACAGUGCAGGGUCAUUCAGCGAGACUCCGGUGAGCACAAGGUGAGCAUGUGGCGUCUCAGAUCGAGUAAGUAGGGGCGCAUCCCAGAGGCCACGCUUUCUGUUCGAACCAGGAUUUCCUUUGGUCACGGAGACAAAGCCAGUGGUGUUCUAAGAAACACAGACCACCCGGCAACCUUGUCAUAUCCUUUCUUAUCCAUGUCACUUCUCUGUAUCAGCCAACCGCUUACACUGAAAAUGAUGAGACACGGGACACAGCACUGUUCCCCUUCCUGUCCUUACUCAUCGGUAAGUAGGAAGCCGGGAGUCUUGGCAGAAGGCGUGACUACCAAGAAGUGAGAUAAAAACAGUCGUGUCAGUUUGGGGCAGCAGGUCCGCUGUCCUGGCGAGGAUGAAAUGCACGAGGAUGAGCUGUGAAAUCCCGGUGGGGUCAUUUCAGCGAUUCCACAUAUGAGUUAAUGCUCUUCCACUGGCAUUUAAAACUGACAUUGCACAAUAGGACGAUGAAUAGUAAAAUUCAUGCUAAUCAUUUAACAUCUUCGUUUUUCUUUACUUAGAAUAACAUUUAGUAGUAAAUUAAAAACACCAUGACAAGACGAGACAGGGAUUAAAAGAAAGGAGAGACUUUUUAUUCCAUAUCUACACUGGCACUUUUUCCCUACUUUCUGGACAAGGGGCACCGUAUUGUGUUGCUGGCCCGGCUUGGAAGCUUGCUGUCAGGACGCUUCGUCUCAGAACCCAGUCGCCAUGUGGUGAGGACCCAACCCCCAGGGAAAGGGCGUGUGUGGGUGCCCCGGUCUACAGCCCUACCCAAGCCCAGCCUUUGAGUCACCCCAGCCGAGUGACAGAAAUAAACCUCCAGAGGAUUCCAUUCCCGCCUCUGCCGGCCUUCCCCACACCGCGCCCAAACUUCCAGACGCCUGCGUCGAGCCCAGCCCUCGUGGAGCAGAGAUAAGCCAUCCCCACUCGGCCCCGUUUGAAUUCCUGACCUCCAGAAUCGUGCGACUGGGCGAGUGCAAUGAGCAGAAAUAAACGGGCCGCAGUUUAUUCAUUUGGGUUGGUUCCAAUCUUUUGUGAACACAAAUGGAGCUGCAAUGACUAACUCUGUGUGUAUAAUCUGUACGUUCAGAGCAGAUUCCUGCAAAUGAGGAUUACCGUGUCAAAGGGGAAACGCGUACGUAAUUUUGUUAGCUGUUGCCGACAUCCUCUCUAAACUCUUCUUUUUCCCCAUGUAGCUUUCUUUGUGUUUACGGCAUAUUCGUUCACGUCUAACGCCCGCCCCCCGCAACAUACCUGUGUGCAAACAGAGAAACACACACGGAGAAAAAUGCGCAAAUAAACGGACAGCUUGACAGAUUUGCACAAAC